UACGAAGGGGGCUAGCGUUGCUCGGAAUCACUGGGCGUAAAGCGCACGUAGGCGGCUUUCUAAGUCAGGGUGAAAUCCUGGAGCUCAACUCCAGAACUGCCUUUGAUACUGGAGAGCUCGAGUCCGGAAGAGGUGAGUGGAACUCCGAGUGUAGAGGUGAAAUUCGUAGAUAUUGGAAGAACACCAGUGGCGAAGGCGGCUCACUGGUCCGGUACUGACGCUGAUGUGCGAAAGCGUGGGAGCA
rnacentral:rRNA from 1 species